rnacentral:rRNA from 1 species
AUACGUAGGGGGCAAGCGUUAUCCGGAUUUACUGGGUGUAAAGGGAGCGUAGACGGAAGGCCAAGUCUGAUGUGAAAGCCCGCGGCUCAACUGCGGGACUGCAUUGGAAACUGGUCAUCUGGAGUGCAGGAGGGGUAAGCGGAAUUCCUAGUGUAGCGGUGAAAUGCGUAGAUAUUAGGAGGAACACCGGUGGCGAAGGCGGCUUACUGGACUGUAACUGACACUGAGGCUCGAAAGCGUGGGGAGCAAACAGGAUUAGAUGCCCUGGUAGUCCACGCCGUAAACGAUGAAUACUAUGUGUAGGGGUUGUCAUGACCUCUGUGCCGCCGCUAACGCAUUAAGUAUUCCGCCUGGGGAGUACGGUCGCAAGAUUAAAACUCAAAUGAAUUGACGGGG